rnacentral:tRNA from 2 species
UCUUCCAUAGUAUAGUGGUCAGUAUGUGAGCUUGUCACCCAACAACGCUCGAGACCCGGGUUCAAUUCCCGGUGGGAGAG